UUUUUUUCAUUUCACUUUCACUUCCCCAAAUAAUUUUAUGAAAAUUCACCCAUAAAAAAUCCCAAACCCUUAUAUAUACCCAAAUCUUAAACCCUAAUGUACGUUCUUGCUUCUCAAUCUUUCAAAAAAAAAUAUUUCAAUCUCCUGUCCAACCGGUUAUUUCAAUCUUCUGUCCAACUUCUUAAUCUUCUCCGGGCACUAUUUCUAGAGGUGAGAAUCAUUUGAGAAUAGCUAUUUCUUCCUGUCCAACUUUUGUUUUCUUCCUGUCCAACUUUCCCCAAAUUCCAAAUCAUGUUUUCUUUUCUUCCGAAAUCCCCCAAUCCCAAUUCUGGAGACAGAUUUAACAUUUAGAGUUUCAUAUUCCGAUUCCAUCCCCAUGGACAUCCUUAAUAUAUACAGAAACUUUAAAGACCAACUGGGAAUUUAAACGAUGCCGGGAACUACAUCAAAACCUACCUAAAGUAAUGAAAAUCUGAUUCCCCUGUUACGUACCUACUGAUCUCAUCUUGAUUCCAUCCAUCCUCAUCCCUAUUCAUAUUUUGAUUCCAUCCCCAUCGGUCGUAAAAAACCAAUCAUCCAUUUAGUUCAUUAUUUAUGGUGCUGAGUUAGCAACCUUUCCUCAGACAUUUCCAAAGAUCAUUGAAAAUCCGGAAAGCCUGACCUUGUAGGUGAUUUUUGUGAGAUUUAUUUUGUAACAUGCAUAUCAGCAAUUGUUUUUGGUAGAGAAAUAAAACAGUGUCCAUUAAUUUUAAAUAUCUGUAAUUAAGAAUCAUUUUUUUUACAUUACAUCUUCAGAAGGGUUCUUCUUAUUUUUCUGUUGCAGCAAUCCCAAUCUAUGCUCAUCCUCAUAACCAUGAUAUAGAACUACAGAUUGAUUAAAACACAAACAAUAAUACGUGUUAGAAUCUGAAAACAAGCCUUACAGAAAAAUAUUGUUUCCUUUUCUGACAUGGUGACGAUCUUGUCUGAUUUUGUUUAACUUUUAACAGGAAUUGAAAUGAAUAUGAUAUUAUAUAUUGUUCUCAUAUUCAUUUAAUUGUAUUGAGAAUAUUGAAGAUGGUAUUUUGUGGAGGAGAUAGAUUUACCAAAAAUAAAGGAAUGGAUUAAUUUUAUUGCUUGAGUUCAAUCUAAUGAUUUACAAUUCUCUAUUGCCUUUUAUUUCUAGGUUAGAAUUAUAUUUUUGAGAGAUAUGAUGUUGUCUACCGUCAAUUAAAAUUUCCCCACUAUGAAAGAUAAAAUCACAAGAUAAAGAAAAGAUAGAGAGCUGUAAUGUUCAGAUUGUAUUUUAGAUUAUUUUGUUGAAUACGUUGAUUAAAUCUGAUUAUUAGUUUACUUCUGAUUUUUAGAUUAAAUUUUACAGAUUUUAUAUUUUCCUUAUUUUCAGAUCUUAUAUCUACACCAAGUUGAUAGUGUUGUUGAGCUGGGCUUGAAUCACAUAUCAAAACCAAGCAAAAAUAUGUGAAGAGAUUGGGUGGAUUUUGAUAAAUGAAUCAAAAUCUUUGGAUUAAUAAUUUUCAAUGUUCAAAUAUAUAUGGAAAAUGAUGAUCUCUUAUAUUGAUCUAGCUAACUAUAAAUUGUAU
rnacentral:lncRNA from 1 species